GGCAACGGCCAAGCUUAGUGCCUUUUCCCUCACAGCACACAGAAGAGCUGGGGCUUGUGGCAGAUCCUACCCAGAAUGUCCUGAAACAUGCGGCCUCUGGAGAGUGUUCUCUCCCAGAAACAGCCAAGCAGGGCUUGGCCAGGAGGCUGCCAUUUGGGAAGAACUCCCCUGAUGUCCCACCAGAACCUCUCUGUGCAUAACUGGGUACCCAUCACCGUCUUGCUGCACUUUCUGGACUCUGAGGCGUUGUGCUGCCCUUCUUCUUCAAGAUCACAGGAGUAGCAGGAGGAAUUUGAUGAAAGGACAAAUUCAAAGCAUGGCAAGCCAAAUAUCUCGCUGCUGGCAGUCAGUGAGACGGAGCUAUCAGCUGAAGAGUGGAGAAGAGAGUGAACAUGACCUCUUGGGCAUGGCCUCUUGGAAUUGGCAUGACUUGGCAAAGGCACCAGGAGCCACAUAUCGUGUGUGCCUGUGGAAUAAAGGAGAAGGUUCAACGACUGAGCCCUUGGUUCAAUGAUUUGGAUCCCUGCCACCUUGAGCAAAGGCUCGGUCAGCUUCCUGAGCCGUCUCUUCCAGCCUUGGUGAUUCUGGGACUCUUCAGCAGAUCUGCUUCCCGCUCCUCCACACAGCAGCCCGGAGCGGUGGCCGCGGGCAGGUCCCUCGGGGAGUUCUGCCGGGCAGCUGAGCCGCAGUGCCCCGAGGAGCGCAUUCAUCCCUGCCCGGUGGGU